GUUUGGGGUCCGGGGAGGAGUUGUGCCGAGGAAUGAGAAAGAGGACAUCUGGUUUCACUCUGCCAUCAUGCAUGAUGCCGCUUCAUGAGCCAGGAAGUCUGCUGACACGGGUGGAAAAAAAACACAAAAACAAAAACAAGCAGGAUUGAAUCGAGGUGUGAGUCUCAAGGAAGAGUUGCCCACCUCCAGUGCGGUACAACAUGGGCAAAAUUGAGAUCUACUGGAAGAGCUGCAACGCCGUAAACAAGAAGAGGCAGCCAAGGACCUUCAAAUUUGCCCAAAAUGGCAGAUUCAAACCAAAAUGGCUGACUACCUGUUCAGAUUCGGGCACGAGCUCAAGAGACUUUGUUGUGCGUUCUGUUCUCAGAGAUAAGUCUCCCCACUUUUGUGUUGAUCUAAAAAAAAAAAAAUUGGUUCCAUGGGUUCAUAUUUUUUUUUGUUGUAUCCAAAAAUCCAUCAAAAUAAUUACAUUUGAUGCCACUCUCUGCCCAAACUUGACUGCAGAGUGAAAAAAAAAAAACUUUAAUAGCUUAGCUUUGCCUGUCGAGGAUACCUGUUUCCAGUUGAGGCUCAUUUGGGCAAAUUCCAGAGUAGGAGUUUGUUCAGUGAAUAUCUCGGUGAGUUAAAAAAAAAAAAAUCCUAAGUGAGCAUUAUUGUCUUUAUGAAAGCCGAAUUCUUGUCUCGGAUGUCAAAAGAUGGUGUACCUAAUGAAUUGUGUUUGUGACACCAAUAUUUAAACCAACAAUAUUAAAAAAAAAAAAAGACCAAAAAAAAUGACACACUUCCUCAGGUGGUCAUCCCGUAAUGGAAAGAAGUUCAUUUAUAGAAGGGGGACAAAAUGGAGGCCGCACGCUAACGGUUGCGCUUCCUCGUGGCGUUAGUCACGCGCCUGAUUAGUACAUGAACAACAUGAACAUGUCUAAAUAUACAGAAGAACGGACCGCUUUGGUCAUGUGUGAGCUGACACACUGGACGAUGCAAAACUAGGGCAGGGGACACUUUAUUAGGUACUCCUGCAACCGCAGACAUGUUCUUUUGUGGCUGCUUUGUGACCAUGUUUUAAGAUCCUAAUUUUCCCUAUAACUUGAUUCUUUUAUUUACAUUUGAUUUUUUCCCCUCUUCAGAAUAUUUUGAAAUAAAUAUAACUUUCCAGUAACAUAGCAGUUUUGUGUCCAAUCGAGGCUUUUAGUGCUAAAAAGUGAUGACAAAGCUUUCUUGCCUUUCAAGGUCACAAAUGACUUCAGCAGCGGCGCUCCGAUGCUCAGGCGUUCUAAGUGGCGGCCAUGGGACCGCCGCGCCGGUCUUGGCUCUUGAUUGAUGACACCUCAUCUUCAUCUUCUUUUCCUCUUCCGCAUCCUAAACCUCCAACAAGAUAGCCAGAGCACUUAAGAUGAUUAGAUGACGGGCGCACGGAACUGAUCCGGCGGUAGAAAAAAAGAAAAAAAAAAACAUUUUUGUAAAAAUGCAACUUGAUUCUACGAAUUGACUCUGUCUAAAA